UACGAAGGGGGCUAGCGUUGCUCGGAUUGACUGGGCGUAGAGGGCGCGUAGGCGGUUCGUACAGUCAGACGUGAAAUUCCUGGGCUCAACCUGGGGGCUGCGUUUGAUACGUGCGGGCUUGAGUGCGGAAGAGGGUCGUGGAAUUCCCAGUGUAGAGGUGAAAUUCGUAGAUAUUGGGAAGAACACCGGUGGCGAAGGCGGCGACCUGGUCCGAUACUGACGCUGAGGCGCGAAAGCGUGGGGAGCAAACAGG
rnacentral:rRNA from 1 species